rnacentral:lncRNA from 1 species
AGAGAAAGAAACAAAAUUGAAAAACGAAACAGAGAAGCAAAACAAAAAUUGAGAAAGAAAAACAGAAAGAAGAAAAAGAACGAGAGCCACGGUUUAGGGGUUUCCAAAGUUCUAAAUUUAAUUGGUAAGUUAAUUUAGUCCCUUUUUCUUGUAAUUUUGAUAUUUUUGGAAUUCUAGAAUAAAAUAAUAGUUGAUUUAAGUUGAAAUUUUAAAAGUUAGUAAAUUUUUAGAUGUUGUUUAUGUUGAAUAAAUUGAAGAAUUAGGGAUUAAAUUGAUUGAAUUGCAAGUUAGAAGUUAGUAAAUGGUUGAUUUGUAAAAUAAAUUAUAUGCUUUGAAUUAAUAGGGACUAAAUUGAGAGAAUUUCAAAAUUAGGGAUUUAUGGUGAAAAUGAAGAGUUAAAAUGAGUUUAUAGUAAGAAUUAAGAGAGAAUAUGGAGUUAGAUUGGGAAAAUAAAAUUAGUAUUGAUAAGGGAUUAAAUUAGAAUUUAGGUAAAGUUUAGGUAUAAAUGGAAAUAUUUUAAUGAAAUUAUGUAUUAAUGAUUUUUAAUUGUUUAAUUAUGUAGCUAAUGUCGUGCAAGAGUCAUUGUCCGAGAAAGGAAAGGAGAAUGUGGACAAGGAGUGAUUCGAGAAAAUUUAGGUUAGUAUUACCAUAAUUCGAAUUUAAUUAUUAAUUGUUGAAAUUUAAAUUAAUAUACAUGAUAAACAAAUUGAGGUGAGUAUUAUGAUUGAAUUGAAUGAAAACAUAUAUAUAUACGUAUUGGUAUUGAAUUUAUUGAUAGUAAUUGUUGAAUUUUGAAUAAUAUGUUUAGUAAAUAAAAAUAAGGUGAAUAUCGAUAUUGAAUUAAAUGAAUUAAAAAUAUGAAUAGAAUAAAAGUAAAUUAAAUUAUGAUUAUGUGUGAAUAUGUAAAUUGUGUAUAGAUUGAAAAGUGGUUUGAAUUGAAUCAAAGUAUGAUUAUAUGUGAAUAUCUGAAAUAUGUAUUGGUAUUGAAUUGUAUAUUGAUUAGAAAGUGGGAAGUGAAUCUGAAUUGAAUUGUGAUAUGAAUACCCUAUUAACUAGUCGGGCUGAGUCGAAUAUAGUUGGCAUGCCAUAGGAUUGGAAGUGUUCAGGGGAUUGGAAGUGUUCAGGGGUACUUCGACCUCGAGUCAAUGAGACACUGGGUGUCACUAUAUUUCUUCGGAUAGUUUCGAUGAUGUACUGGGUACCAACUUUCUUCGGCUCUGCCGAUGAGACACUGGGUGUCACUUUAUUGCUUCGAACUAUCCGAUGAGGCACUGGGUGCCAUUCUGGUGUAUGUAGUUGGAUCCGUGUAUCCGCCAAGGUCCGAGUCAAGUUAAUAGGGGUAAAUGAAUAAUCUUGAUAAUAUAAAUUUUAUUGAAUGAUCUUGAAUAUGAAUCGAAAUUAGAUAUUAAAUUGAGAUGCGGAAAUGAAAUGUAUGAACCAUGGGUUCAAGAAAUAGAUAAUGAUAUAGUUCAUGAAAUGGUUUUGGUAGUAUGAGAUGAUGUAAAAAUAUAAGUAAAGAAAAGCAAAUUGAAAUAGCUAUGGUUGAGAAAUGAGAAGUGAAAAUAAAAUGAUUUGAAAUAGUGAAAUAAUAUGUGAAUUUAAUUGAAUACAAGUUAUUGAAAUUUAUUUAUGGAUUUAAUGUAUAAAUUGAGUGUUAAAAGAUUAUAAGUGUAAAUUGAUCAUAAAUGAACGAAUCGAAUUGAAAGAUAGUUAUUAUUAUUGUUGUUGUUGAAACAAGUUGAUUUAAUGUAUUAAAUGUUUAUUGAAAGAUUAACGGUAUAAAUUGAAUUAAGAAAUAGUGUAUGAGUUAAUUUGAAUACAAUUUUAUAAAAUUAGUUGUUAUUAUUAUUAUUAUUAUUAUUAUUGAAACAUAUUAGUCUAAAUGUUUAAUUUGAUUAUUAAAAGCUUUAAAGUAUAAAUUGAAUAUAAAUAGAAAUGAUAAUGAAUGAGUUGAUAAAUUGAUUGAAUUUGUAUGAAUUGGAAUGAGUUAUUAGAAUGAGAUGUUGAAAAAUCCAAUGGAAUUGUGAUAGUGAAAUAAGGUAUGAGUACAAUGCUUAUUGUUAUUAAUUAUCAAGUUGAUUUAAAGUAUGAGACAAUUAAUGAAUAAUUGUAGACAUAAAUUAAAUGUAUAUAAUUUAUCGAUUAAUGUUAUUAAUUUGAAUUAUGGUAAUACACCGUAUGGUUGUUUCUGUGCGCAGGUUAGUAGAAAGCCAGUGUCCGGUCCAGCAUCCAGAGCAAUCCCGACCUCAGAGAAAUUUUAGUGAUGUACUUUUGUUUUGAUAAUGUGGCAUGUACCUAGGUGAUGUAUAGGUUAAGUAUAAGAGUUUUGUUAUUACUGUUGUAGAAUGAUGUUUAAAUUGGUUAUAAGUAUGAAAUGGAACUAAUAUGAC